GAUAAGAAACGACACUUGUUUAAACUAUCGAGCAACGGGGUAAUGAGAAUUUAGCCGUCCGAAGACGCGAGGGAGAAAUACAGAGUGGCCGUGUUUGGUUUAGCGAACUGCUUUGAUCUAAAUAGGGACGAAGUUGGAAAGUAGCUCGCUUUAACCUCAUCCUUUCUGAAUUGAGACCUCCAAAGAAUAUAUUAACACCUUGUAUAUACCAGAGAAACUCGUCUGAAAAAUUAGCUGCUUUCUGCUCAAUGAUGAUCAUAUAACAAAAAUCGAGACCUGCAAAGAAUAUAUUAACACCCUGUACAUCACCAGCAGAGAAACCAGCUGCUUUCUACCCAAUGAUGAUCAUAUAACAAAGAAUCGAGAAUAUAUUAACACCUUGUAUAUACCAGAAAAACUCAUUUGAAAAACUAGCUUUUCUUCCAAUGAUGAUCAUAUAACAAAAAUCGACACUUCCAAAGAAUAUAUUAAGAUUCUAUAUACCAUCAGCAGAGAAACCAGCUGCUUUCUACCCAAUGAUGAUCAUAUAACAAAGAAUCGAGAUCUCCAAAGAAUAUAUUAACACCCUGUACACCACCAGCAGAGAAACUCAUGUGAGAAACCGGCUGCUUUCUGCCCAAUUAUUUUCGUAUCUCUGCCAGCCAUGACCACCAUCCGUCCGUAUCCCCGUGGCCACGGCCCUUGCGGCUGUCGUGGACCGCACGUGUCCCCUGUAUCCAUCCUUUAACCGCCUUUCACCUGGAUAUCACAUUCAGGAAAUGAAAAUACCAUAAUGGCCGCUGAAAUGCAACCUCGGAAAAUUUCUACGGUUAUACGUGCCUCGUAUCUGUACCCUGAUGCUCUCCCUGAAACACUCGGACUGCGAAAGAAAAUUGAAAAGUCUGUGAGCUCGUCUGAUACGUAACGGGUGAGACGAGCGAUUCGAAAUUGCAAUUGGAUGGCGGAUUUCUUUUAGCCUUCUAAAGAGGCGAAUUUACGAAUUCUUUCGUCAAUUUUAUUUCGUGCUUAAAAAUCAUUGGAGAUGAGGCGGAUUAAUAAAUCGGUUCAAUUUUCUUGAAAUUUUGGACAACGAUUUAAGAUUUAACGAUGUUUGUAUGGAAUACAAUCGAGACAUCAGAGAGUUAAAAUAAAUUUAUAGUAAUGAAAAUGGCAUCAAAUCCGAGAGAAUCACCUGAACACUUAGAAGAGAAAAUAUUUCAAGAAUUGAUUCGAAGAAUCGACAAUCUAGAGAAAAUGGAAGCAAAUGGAAUUUGGCAUUCGAAGAGAUUUCGCGUCAGAAACGGAGGACAAUGGUUUGCGAAUGUAUUGCGCGGUUUGGAAGAGAAGAGAAAAUCCAUGAAAAUUGAAUUUUAAAAUUCAUGAUUAAGAGAAAAAACUUUGUUUGUGAAGAGAUAGUACCUCGUGGAUUUAUAUAAAAUAUAUUCUUAAAAGAAAAAUCUUAUUCACCAUAAUCAAAGAAAAAUAAAAAAGAUUGCAUUUCUAUAUCCAAAAUAUUAUCCGACUUCACAUUCUACAUACUUCAAAUACCGAUUUUCUUUAACUCACAGGUACACGCAAAAUUAUUCAUCAAUUUCCCAAUAA